GCGCGCAAAUUACCCAAUCCUGACACGGGGAGGUAGUGACAAUAAAUAACAAUACCGGGCGCGUUAGUGUCUGGUAAUUGGAAUGAGUACAAUCUAAAUCCCUUAACGCGGAUCCAUUGGAGGGCAAGUCUGGUGCCAG
rnacentral:rRNA from 1 species